GUCCAAUUUUUAUUUUUGGUCAUAAUCCACGAUUCCAAACUCCUUUGAAUUUUAUUCUGACAUUUUUCUUUGGGCAAAAUUGAUGGCACAACGGGCUUAAGGAAGAGUCAACAAUGGGAAAGCGUAAUAUUUAAUAAUUAAAUUAGGAAACUUGAUAUUUAUGAGAAUAUUAUGUAAAUACUAAUUAUUAAUUUUUUUAUGGUAUUAGAGCCGAUAUUUAUUCGGGUACUGGAGAAAUCUCGGUAUCAUUAUCUACAAUAAACGCACCAAAAAGAAAAAAAAAACCAAACUUUACCAGAUCUACUAUGACGAAGACGAAUGAGCAGCGUUUCUCUUCACAAAUUAAAUUGGUGCAACCUCAAUGGUUAAAUACCAACCGAAUAAAAUUGGUGGCCCAAUAUAAUCAAGUGAAACCCCAUAAAUGGAAGAUUCGGUUAUCACGCAGGCGAAAUGGAAGAGAAAAUUACUUGACCAGUUGUUGGUGGCUCGGUGUUACGGCUCCAAGAAUCGAAGGUGGUCAAUUGGUGGCAUCUCCAAUCGGUGAGAGAAAUGGUGGUCGACAGUCUGCUCUCCGUUGCUACACGUGGGUCAAUAACCGGCAAAAGGGAAAAGAUAAAAAUCAUUACCCAAUUGGAGAUAAGGGGACAGCGUUCGGAUGCUAGUUUUUAUUAAUUCCCACCAGUCAAAACGAUAAGGAGCAGCCAUGGGAUAAUGCUAUUAAUGGAAAAUGGAAGUCUUUGGGGAUUUCUGCCAGUGAAGCUAAUCUUUGUUUUCCAAAUUGCAUCCAUUUCUCUCAUUAACAUAUAAUAACCCAUAAGUCACUUUGACUUAUUAAAAUCGGGCCUAAUUCCUUAAGCCCCACAAAUGAAUCCGAUCAUGAAAUAUAUUCUGACCAUAAGACUAAUAUGUUUAGUCUUCUUUGUCAUAACUCAAAAAAGGGGGCAUGGAUAUUUGAUUGUCGUUCUACAUAUACAAUGACAUAUGAUCCCAGGAAUCUUCUGGGAUUAUAUGUCUGUGAUACCCACAACUCAUACACAUAUCUAAACUGCUAAUGGGGAAUGUGUUCGGGUUGAAAAAAUUGAUACUAUUAAAAUUUCUUCUUCUAUUCAUUUAAAAAAUUGUCUCUUAAUCGCUAACAUAUCAUCAUAAAUUAUUAUUUAUUAGUCAAUUAACUAAAGAACUUAAUUUUACGGUUUUGAUGACUUCUGAUGGGUGUAUUGUGUAGGAUGUUCAGACCGGGACAAUCAUUGGACGUGAUACUGAAAAAGGAGGAUUAUAUUAUGUGGAUGGGGUGGUUCAAAAAGGUCACACCUCGCUUUUUCACGGGUCUCCUGAUCAUAAAUUAUGGAUAUGGCACCACGUCUAGGUCAUCCUUCCUCAGGUACAAAUUGCGUCCAAGUUGUGACAGAAAAUUGAACAAAUAAGUAUGGUGGAUGAUCAAGUAGGAACUCAAGCGCGGAAAGUUCCAAUUUUCAACUUAAAAUAUCAAUCCUAUACACUUUAGUUCAACUAUAUUGAUUUUGAUGUUGGUCAACAUGUACUCUUGUGUUUUUAUGUUGAGAGUGGGGAUGGUAGCGGGUCGGAUCGGGACCGGAUCCAAGUGGAUCUGGAUUCCGAUUCGUUUCUAAAGAAGGACCCAGAUCCUGAUCCGGAUCCGCAAGUCUAAUAUGUCCUGACCUAGAUCCGGAUCCAUGGAUCUCACGGGUCCAAUAUCGAAUCCAGGUCCAAAACAGCUCUAAACUUAUUUUGCGUAUUUGAUUGAAUUUUGGUUCGUGUUGCGAUAACAAUAGAGUUUUAGACUUUAAUUAAUGAUAAUAAUACAUAACAUUAUUAAUUAAAA